AGAGUUAAACAGUACGUGAAAUUGCUAAAAGGGAAACGCUUGAGAUCAGUGAUGUCGCUGGGAAAUCAGCUACCCAGUCAUGGGUGGUGCACUUUCUCAGUGGCGAGUCAACAUCAGUUUGGUUCGGGAUAAAAAGCUUUGAGAAGGUAGCCCCUCGGGGUGUUAUAGCUCAAGGUCAUGUCUCGGGCUGGACUGAGGUCUGCAGUGUUAUUUGGGUAGCCAGUCGCCUCUUGAAACCCUGUUUUAGACAGCAUGCUGACUACGACUUGGUCUAGGGAGCACGGUUGGGAUUCCACACCAACACUUAGGAUGUUGACGAAAUGGUUUCAAACGACC
rnacentral:rRNA from 1 species